UGGAGGUUGUGCCCUUGAGGCGUGGCUUCCGGAGCUAACGCGUUAAGUCGACCGCCUGGGGAGUACGGCCGCAAGGUUAAAACUCAAAUGAAUUGACGGGGGCCCGCACAAGCGGUGGAGCAUGUGGUUUAAUUCGAUGCAACGCGAAGAACCUUACCUGGCCUUGACAUCCACGGAAUUCGGCAGAGAUGCCUUAGUGCCUUCGGGAACCGUGAGACAGGUGCUGCAUGGCUGUCGUCAGCUCGUGUUGUGAAAUGUUGGGUUAAGUCCCGCAACGAGCGCAACCCUUAUCCUUUGUUGCCAGCGAGUAAUGUCGGGAACUCAAAGGAGACUGCCGGUGACAAACCGGAGGAAGGUGGGGAUGACGUCAAGUCAUCAUGGCCCUUACGGCCAGGGCUACACACGUGCUACAAUGGCGCAUACAAAGAGAAGCGAACUCGCGAGAGCAAGCGGACCUCACAAAGUGCGUCGUAGUCCGGAUCGGAGUCUGCAACUCGACUCCGUGAAGUCGGAAUCGCUAGUAAUCGUAGAUCAGAAUGCUACGGUGAAUACGUUCCCGGGCCUUGCACUCACCGCCCGUCA
rnacentral:rRNA from 1 species